GAGCACGCAGAUUCAAGUAUUUAGGAAGCACGCAGAGGAGAAGCAGGAAGGAAGCAAAGCAGAAGCACGCAGAGAGAGCAGCGGCACUUAGAAGCAGAGAGGAAGCCGCGUCUGGGGAAAGCUGCGCGUGGAGGAGGAGGCUUGCAGCGGUCCGUGUUGCCAGGAACCUCUCCCAACCUUCUGCGGUGGGAUCGGCAGAACGGGCUCCUUUGACCAGCAGACUGGACUCCAAAACCACAGAGCGGAGAGGACAGGACCAACGUGGCUGGGACCGAGACAGCCGCCACUCCUCUCCACCCCACCCGCCCACCGUCAUCCUCACGACUUCGGGGCGCCGGGACGGUGAGGACUGGACGGCAGGUAAAGUGCCGCAGGUCCAGCCUUGCCGAUCCACUUUCCUCCGUGGGAAAACAAGCAGGCCUGAGGAUGACAAUUCCCUUCUGUUUCCACUGACUGUGCCCCCAUGAUGAAGCUCAGCGCCAUUCAGGAUGAGGGUUGCCCCUUUGAUGAGCUGAAGCCACAGCGGGUGAUGAGUGAGCAGGGGCUGGGCCACCUUGGAGUCCCGCCAGAGUGCUCCGUCCCGCAGGCGAUGAGCAAGCACCCAUGACAAAGACUCCUCUGCGCCUCCCUGCCAGCUUCAAAAGGUGAAGAGGUGGAAAGAGGAGAUGCACAGGGGAGUGGAGAAGGAGAAACAAUGAUCCAGAAGACACUUGUCCCUUUAUGCUGAGGUCUGAAAAGAGGCAUCUGUGCUUAGGAUGCCCUGGUUUCAGACGGAUUGGGAGGGGUUGCCCUGCCUAUUUAUUUGAUGAUGACAACGAUGAUUUAGGGGGACGGAGACGCUGCAAAUGGGUCCGUUUAGUCGUGGUUUCUAAAUUCCAAUUUGAAUACUUGACGGCAUCCGGUUGGCUGUCAUCUGCCAAGCUACUAUCCUCCCCUCUAACCCAUUUCUUCUCAAAUCCCCCUCCCUGCAAGAAGCCUCUGGAGGAGCAUUAGACAAACCAUUUCAAGCAACCUUAAGUCCAGAGCUGCCCUUUUCUUUCUUUGAUCUGUAAGCUCCCUGUGGGCGGGAAACAUGUCUGCCAACUCUGUAGCACUGUACUCUCCCAAGCGCUUAGUAUAGUGCUCUGCACGCAGUAAGUACUCAAUAAAUACCACUGAUUGA